UAUAAGGAUGAUUUAUUUGCAACAGCGAGAUCUAUAUGAUCCAUGAAAACUUCAUUUACGUCGAUAAUCUGAUU
rfam:Tetrahymena thermophila SB210 genomic scaffold scf_8254487, whole genome shotgun sequence.